rnacentral:rRNA from 1 species
UACAAAGGUCCCAAGCGUUGUUCGGAUUUAUUGGGCGUAAAGGGUGCGUAGGCGGCGGAGUAAGUUGGGUGUGAAAUCCCGGGGCUCAACCUCGGAAUUGCAUUCAAUACUGCUUCGCUAGAGUACUGGAGAGGAGGCUGGAAUUUACGGUGUAGCAGUGAAAUGCGUAGAUAUCGUAAGGAAGGCCGGUGGCGAAAGCGAGCCUCUGGACAGUUACUGACGCUGAUGCACGAAGGCCAGGGGAGCAAACGGG